UGAUUGAUACAUUUGAAUGAGUGGCGGACGGGUGAGUAACCGUGGGUAACUUGCCCUAAAGUGGGGGAUAACAUUUGGAAACAGAUGCUAAUACCGCAUAAAACCUAGCACCGCAUGGUGCAAGGUUGAAAGAUGGUUUCGGCUAUCACUUUAGGAUGGACCCGCGGUGCAUUAGUUAGUUGGUGAGGUAAAGGCUCACCAAGACCGUGAUGCAUACCCGACCUGAGAGGGUAAUCRGCCACACUGGGACUGAGACACGGCCCAGACUCCUACGGGAGGCAGCAGUAGGGAAUCUUCCACAAUGGACGAAAGUCUGAUGGAGCAWCCCCGCGUGAGUGAAYAAGGUUUUCSGAUC
rnacentral:rRNA from 1 species